rnacentral:rRNA from 1 species
UACGGGGGGGGCAAGCGUUGUUCGGAAUUACUGGGCGUAAAGGGCUCGUAGGCGGCCAACUAAGUCGGAUGUGAAAUCCCCAGGCUUAACCUGGGAACUGCAUCCGAUACUGGAUGGCUUGAAUCCGGGAGAGGGAUGCAGAAUUCCAGGUGUAGCGGUGAAAUGCGCAGAUAUCAAGAGGAACACCGGUGGCGAAGGCGGGUCUCUGGGCCGAUACUGACGCUGAGGAGCGAAAGCGUGGGGAGCGAACAGG